UGAACGCUGGCGGCGUGCCUAAUACAUGCAAGUCGAGCGAACAGACGAGGAGCUUGCUCCUCCGACGUUAGCGGCGGACGGGUGAGUAACACGUGGAUAACCUACCUAUAAGACUGGGAUAACUUCGGGAAACCGGAGCUAAUACCGGAUAAUAUAUUGAACCGCAUGGUUCAAUAGUGAAAGACGGUUUUGCUGUCACUUAUAGAUGGAUCCGCGCCGCAUUAGCUAGUUGGUAAGGUAACGGCUUACCAAGGCAACGAUGCGUAGCCGACCUGAGAGGGUGAUCGGCCACACUGGAACUGAGACACGGUCCAGACUCCUACGGGAGGCAGCAGUAGGGAAUCUUCCGCAAUGGGCGAAAGCCUGACGGAGCAACGCCGCGUGAGUGAUGAAGGUCUUCGGAUCGUAAAACUCUGUUAUUAGGGAAGAACAAAUGUGUAAGUAACUAUGCACGUCUUGACGGUACCUAAUCAGAAAGCCACGGCUAACUACGUG
rnacentral:rRNA from 1 species